rnacentral:rRNA from 1 species
UACGAAGGGGGCUAGCGUUGUUCGGAAUUACUGGGCGUAAAGCGCGCGCAGGCGGCUAUCCAAGUCAGAGGUGAAAGCCCGGGGCUCAACUCCGGAACUGCCUUUGAAACUAGAUUGCUAGAAUCUUGGAGAGGCGAGUGGAAUUCCGAGUGUAGAGGUGAAAUUCGUAGAUAUUCGGCAAGAACACCAGUGGCGAAGGCGACUCGCUG